rnacentral:snoRNA from 1 species
AACCCAUGAUUUGGGCAUUUUCUCAAUAAAGACUUAUAUCUCUCUCAGGCUUCACAUAGAGGUUCAUCAAUGCCUUGAGAGAAAGUUGCAAUAGCUUAUUUGACACU